rfam:Trichobilharzia regenti genome assembly, scaffold: TRE_scaffold0008304
GUACUGCUGGAGAGUUCCAAACUAGGACGAAACAGCCGUCCAGUAC